rnacentral:rRNA from 1 species
GACGAACGCUGGCGGCGUGCUUAACACAUGCAAGUCGAACGGAAAGGCCCUGCUUUUGUGGGGUGCUCGAGUGGCGAACGGGUGAGUAACACGUGAGUAACCUUCCCUUGACUUUGGGAUUACUUCAGGAAACUGGGGCUAAUACCGGAUAGGAGCUCCUUCUGCAUGGUGGGGGUUGGAAAGUUUCGGCGGUUGGGGAUGGACUCGCGGCUUAUCCGCUUGUUGGUGGGGUAGUGGCUUACCAAGGCUUUGACGGGUAGCCGGCCUGAGAGGGUGACCGGCCACAUUGGGACAGAGAUACGGCGCAGACCCCGACGGGAGGAAGGAGUGGGGAAUAUUGCACAAUGGGCGGAAGCCUGAUGCAGCAACGCCGCGUGCGGGAUGACGGACUUCGGGUUGUAAACCGCUUUCGCCUGUGACGAAGCGUGAGUGACGGUAAUGGGUAAAGAAGCACCGGCUAACUACGUG